GGGUUGUGAGGUUAAGCGACUAAGCGUACACGGUGGAUGCCUAGGCAGUCAGAGGCGAUGAAGGGCGUGCUAAUCUGCGAAAAGCGUCGGCAAGGUGAUAUGAACCGUUAUACCCGACGAUACCCGAAUGGGGAAACCCAGUGUGAUUCGUCACACUAUCAUUAACUGAAUCCAUAGGUUAAUGAGGCGAACCGGGGGAACUGAAACAUCUCAGUACCCCGAGGAAAAGAAAUCAACCGAGAUUCCCCCAGUAGCGGCGAGCGAACGGGGAGGAGCCCAGAACCUGAAUCGGCUUGUGUGUCAGUGGAAGCGUCUGGAAAGGCGCACGAUACAGGGUGACAGUCCCGUACACGAAGAUGCACAGGUCGUGAGUUCGACGAGUAGGGCGGGACACGUGGUAUCCUGUCUGAACAUGGGGGGACCAUCCUCCAAGGCUAAAUACUCCUGACUGACCGAUAGUGAACCAGUACCGUGAGGGAAAGGCGAAAAGAACCCCGGCGAGGGGAGUGAAAUAGAACCUGAAACCGUGUACGUACAAGCAGUGGGAGCACCUUUUAGGUGUGACUGCGUACCUUUUGUAUAAUGGGUCAGCGACUUAUAUUCUGUAGCAAGGUUAACCGAAUAGGGGAGCCGCAGGGAAACCGAGUCUUAACUGGGCGUCUAGUUGCAGGGUAUAGACCCGAAACCCGGUGAUCUAGCCAUGGGCAGGUUGAAGGUUGGGUAACACUAACUGGAGGACCGAACCGACUAAUGUUGAAAAAUUAGCGGAUGACUUGUGGCUGGGGGUGAAAGGCCAAUCAAACCGGGAGAUAGCUGGUUCUCCCCGAAAGCUAUUUAGGUAGCGCCUCGUGAACUCAUCUUCGGGGGUAGAGCACUGUUUCGGCUAGGGGGCCAUCCCGGCUUACCAACCCGAUGCAAACUGCGAAUACCGAAGAAUGUUAUCACGGGAGACACACGGCGGGUGCUAACGUCCGUCGUGAAGAGGGAAACAACCCAGACCGCCAGCUAAGGUCCCAAAGUCAUGGUUAAGUGGGAAACGAUGUGGGAAGGCCCAGACAGCCAGGAUGUUGGCUUAGAAGCAGCCAUCAUUUAAAGAAAGCGUAAUAGCUCACUGGUCGAGUCGGCCUGCGCGGAAGAUGUAACGGGGCUAAAACCAUGCACCGAAGCUGCGGCAGCGACGCUUAGGCGUUGUUGGGUAGGGGAGCGUUCUGUAAGCCUGUGAAGGUGGCCUGUGAGGGCUGCUGGAGGUAUCAGAAGUGCGAAUGCUGACAUAAGUAACGAUAAUGCGGGUGAAAAACCCGCACGCCGGAAGACCAAGGGUUCCUGUCCAACGUUAAUCGGGGCAGGGUGAGUCGACCCCUAAGGCGAGGCUGAAAAGCGUAGUCGAUGGGAAACAGGUUAAUAUUCCUGUACUUGGUGUUACUGCGAAGGGGGGACGGAGAAGGCUAUGUCAUCCGGGCGACGGUUGUCCCGGUUUAAGCGUGCAGGUGGGUGGACCAGGUAAAUCCGGUCUGCUGCUAACACUGAGGCGUGAUGACGAGGCACUACGGUGCUGAAGUGACAGAUGCCCUGCUUCCAGGAAAAGCCUCUAAGCAUCAGGUAACAUUGAAUCGUACCCCAAACCGACACAGGUGGUCAGGUAGAGAAUACUCAGGCGCUUGAGAGAACUCGGGUGAAGGAACUAGGCAAAAUGGUGCCGUAACUUCGGGAGAAGGCACGCUCCUGGUGGUGAAGUCCCUUGCGGAUGGAGCUGACGGGAGUCGCAGAUACCAGCUGGCUGCAACUGUUUAAUAAAAACACAGCACUGUGCAAACACGAAAGUGGACGUAUACGGUGUGACGCCUGCCCGGUGCCGGAAGGUUAAUUGAUGGGGUUAUCCGUAAGGAGAAGCUCUUGAUCGAAGCCCCGGUAAACGGCGGCCGUAACUAUAACGGUCCUAAGGUAGCGAAAUUCCUUGUCGGGUAAGUUCCGACCUGCACGAAUGGCGUAAUGAUGGCCAGGCUGUCUCCACCCGAGACUCAGUGAAAUUGAACUCGCUGUGAAGAUGCAGUGUACCCGCGGCAAGACGGAAAGACCCCGUGAACCUUUACUAUAGCUUGACACUGAACCUUGAGCCUUGAUGUGUAGGAUAGGUGGGAGGCUUUGAAGUGUGGACGCCAGUCUGCAUGGAGCCGACCUUGAAAUACCACCCUUUAAUGUUUGAUGUUCUAACCUGGGCCCGUAAUCCGGGCUGGGGACAGUGUCUGGUGGGUAGUUUGACUGGGGCGGUCUCCUCCCAAAGAGUAACGGAGGAGCACGAAGGUUAGCUAAUCCUGGUCGGACAUCAGGAGGUUAGUGCAAAGGCAUAAGCUAGCUUGACUGCGAGAGUGACGGCUCGAGCAGGUGCGAAAGCAGGUCUUAGUGAUCCGGUGGUUCUGAAUGGAAGGGCCAUCGCUCAACGGAUAAAAGGUACUCCGGGGAUAACAGGCUGAUACCGCCCAAGAGUUCAUAUCGACGGCGGUGUUUGGCACCUCGAUGUCGGCUCAUCACAUCCUGGGGCUGAAGUAGGUCCCAAGGGUAUGGCUGUUCGCCAUUUAAAGUGGUACGCGAGCUGGGUUUAGAACGUCGUGAGACAGUUCGGUCCCUAUCUGCCGUGGGCGUUGGAAGAUUGAGGGGGGUUGCUCCUAGUACGAGAGGACCGGAGUGAACGCACCGCUGGUGUUCGGGUUGUCAUGCCAAUGGCACUGCCCGGUAGCUACGUGCGGAAGAGAUAACCGCUGAAAGCAUCUAAGCGGGAAACUUGCCCCGAGAUGAGUCUUCCCUGGGCCCCUGAGGCCCCUGAAGGGACGUUCGAGACGAGGACGUUGAUAGGCUGGGUGUGUAAGCGUAGUGAUACGUUGAGCUAACCAGUACUAAUGACCCGAGAGGCUUAACCUUACAACACCGAAGGUGUUU
rnacentral:rRNA from 1 species